CUGCAAGUGAACCUAAUAAUAUCAUCUCUAGGGGAGGGUGUUUUGAUGUUUCGGAACCCAAUGUUUUUAUUGUUAUUUUCCCCAACUAUAAUUUCUACACUGGGACCUGUCCACCACUAGUAAGUGGCAUGAAAACUUCAGCCCACAAGAGAUUCAAAACUGUUACAAAUGAGGAAAUAGAGAAAUUUUUCGACUCCAGGCAAGCAAAAUCAACAAAAAAAAAAUACAGCAUGGGGAUUUUUCAAGAUUGGAACAUGGAGAUCUAUGGUUCUGUACUAAUGGUGCAACAUUAGACCUGCAAACAGCAAAUGUGUCAACUCUUGCCAGUCAUCUCUCGUGAUUUUAUUGUGAAGCCAGCCCCAAAGAAAAAGUUGAUGAUGAUGUUUAGCCUUUGUACCACAAAAAUACUUUGAUCAAUAUCAAAGGAGCAAUAAAUCGCCAUCUUGCUGACAUUCAGAGAGAUGUAAAUAUAGUCCAUGACAAGGAGUUCAGAACAGCCAAUGGAAUCUUGGAUGGUUUCUUUAAAGAGCGAACCUGACUUGAUCUGUCAAAACCAACAUCACACAAAGAUAUUAUCGAGAUACAUGAUCUGCAGAAGAUUUAUAAAUACCUCCAAGGUGCCACAUCAUCACCAGUGGUUUUGCGCCAUGCUGUAUGGUACUUUCUGUCCAUCAAUUUUAAUACCAUAGGUUUAGAGUUCCACCAUAAGUUUAAUCAUAACAGCUUUGUCUUCUGCACAGAUGAAACUUGCCAAUAUGCUGCAUUACAACACAAAACAUUACAAAAUAAUCAUCAAGGUGGUGUAGAUGCCGAUGACAGCCAUACAGACAAGAUAAUGUACGCAACUGAUAAUGAAAACUGCUGUCAUGUUUAUCUCUUAAAGUUACUGAUGUCAAAAACAGAUUCAAAUGCUACAAAUCUUUUCAACCAAUACAUAUAAGAGAGAGUUCAUUCUGAUAUUUGGUAUUCAGCAAAACCCCUGCCAAAGCGCACUUUCAACAAGUCUCUCGGGGAGAUUUGCUUUGCUGCUGGUGUGGAGCAUAAAUACACAUCCCACUGUUUACUGGCCACUGCAAACACUUACCUUAAUGAUCAGGGAUUUGAAGCACGACACAUCAUGUUCAUGUCGAACCAAAGGAAUGAGAGUUCAAUGAGGUCAUAUAACAGAUCGCUCUCCUCUAAGCAAAAAAAAAAGCAUUCUGCGAUGGCGUCUGCAUCUUCAUCCCCUUUUACGAUCGUAGCUCUUCCACCGCUGUCGACCAGGUUCUCGAACUUGCCACCACGAACCCAUGAAAAUCAGGCUCAACUUGAAAACUUACCGUCACCAUCUGCACAUGAGACCACAACUCUCAUAUCGUCAAAUUCCACAGCCACAACAUCGUCCUCCAUGCCAGCAACAUUGAAAACAGUUAACAUGAACAUGCAAAACAUUAAUUCAACAGCUGGGUUUUUCAAUAAUGCAAACUUCAGGGAGAGCACAUUUCGUUUUACUCAGUUGUGCU